rnacentral:rRNA from 1 species
UUAUUGGGCGUAAAGCGCGCGUAGGCGGUUUUUUAAGUCUGAUGUGAAAGCCCACGGCUCAACCGUGGAGGGUCAUUGGAAACUGGAAAACUUGAGUGCAGAAGAGGAAAGUGGAAUUCCAUGUGUAGCGGUGAAAUGCGCAGAGAUAUGGAGGAACACCAGUGGCGAAGGCGACUUUCUGGUCUGUAACUGACGCUGAUGUGCGAAAGCGUGGGGAUCAAACAGGAUUAGAUACCCUAGUA